CCCGGGUGCCCACGUCAGACUCCAGCUGCGCAUCCGGGGCUCCCCUGGGAGCCGCGCGAGGCGGGGCGGGACAGGGGUGCCAGGAGCUCCGUCUGCAGCUCCCGCUGGGCUGCGGGCGCGGAAGCAGCGCUCAGCAUGCUCGCCGCCGUCGGCAGCCUCCGGCGCCUCCGCCUGGGAAACGUCCCCCGCUGCACCCCGGGAGCGCCCCCAGGAGCCGCGCGGCGGCCCGUCGCGUCUCUGCGGGCCCCCGGUCACCCCCAGUACUCCCGCAGCGGGGCCCCCGGCGGCUCAGAGCCGCCAGGUUCCGCAGGGAGGGUCCACAGGGUCCCCGCCGAGCACAAGCCGUCGCAAUUCGACAAGAAAAUCCUGCUGUGGACUGGGCGUUUCAAAGCGAUGGAGGAGAUCCCGCCUCUGAUUCCGCCAGAAAUGAUCGAUGCUGCAAGAAACAAAGCGCGAGUGAAAGCUUGUUACAUAAUGAUUGGACUCACAAUCAUUGCCUGCUUUGCCGUGAUAGCGUCAGGCAAAAGGGCUGCAGAACGACAUGAAUCUUUAACAAGCUGGAACCUGGCAAAGAAGGCGAAGUGGCGUGAGGAAGCUGCGCUGGCUGCACAGGCCAAGGCUAAAUGAUAGUCCAGCUGACAGUGUUCAUCGGAUUAUCAUCACUGUCAGCAGCAACAAUAGAAGAUAGGGAUUGGCUUACAUAAUUGUGGGAGCUGGCAAAUCAAGGAACCUAUAGGACAGGCCAUCAGGCUGGGAACUCUCUGGCAGGAGCUGAAGCUAUAGUCCAAAGGCAGAAUUUUUUUCUUCCUCAUGGAAACUUCAGUUUUGCUCUGCAGGUCUUUCAACUGAUUGGAUAAGGCUCACCCAGAUUAUCAAUGUAAAUCCUAGAUCAAAGGUUUCAUACUCUUCCAUUACAUCUACUGUCUGCCUCUUUGGAUGGUGGCCAUACUCUGGUGUACCAGUACAGAAGAUUUCACCAUGGAAAGCCGUGCCUGACCUUUCGAUCUGACCAUACUUUUCAUAAGACUGCUAUAUCUUCAGCCUUCAGGAGGGAAGUCCAUUGUUCCCACCCCAAAAACACUGAAAGGGAAAACUAUUUUCAGUUGUUUCAACUAGUUUGUUUUAUUUAAAUUCACUUAUCAUGUAAUCUGAAAAUAUCAAUUUUAUAAUAACUAUUGUUCUAUUGUUUUAGCAUAUAAAUGUACAGAUUCUCAUUUGAACCUGAAAAAAUGAUAUACUAAUUCUAAAUUUGUAUACACAAAUAAUGUAGCAUCUAAAUAGAGCCAGAACUCCAAGGAAAAAAUGAAUAAACCUACCAUCGUCUUGGGAAAUUUUAACAUACCUCUCUUAGAAACUGACAAAUUAAGCUGACUAGUAAAGAUAUGUUAUGUGAAUCAAUUAAUAAUACACAUUCUUUUCUAGCAUGUAGGAACUUUUCACUUAAAACUGAGCACAUACUAGGCCAUAAAGCACAUUUCAUCAACUUUUAAAUUACAUGUAAUCACAUUACAACUUAGAAAUUAAUGGUAUGUUUUUAAAGUUUGAAGGUUUAAAGACACAUUUAUAAAUGAUUCUUUGGUCAAAGAAUAAAUCAUAACUGGAGUUUAAAAAUGCUUAGAGAUGAAUAAGAAAAAGCUAUAUAUUAAAACUGGUGGAAUGCAGCUAAAGUGGUACUUCAAAGCAAAUUGUUAGCCUCACAAAAUGCAUGUCUUAGAAAAGAAAGAUUUAGGCAAAUGUGGUAAACAUCCCUAAAAAAUCAGACAAAAACAGAAUAAAUCCAAAGGAAAUAAAAUAUUGGAAACUAUAAAAUUAAUGUUGCCGAAACUUGGCCUCUGCUUACCGGUGCCAAAUAGAAACACGGAGACAGAGUUUUGGGUGAAGUAGAAAAGAGUAGCUUUUGUUGCUCUGCCAGGCAAAGGGGGCCACAGCAGGCUAAUGCCCUCAAGACUGUGUGUCUUCCCUGGAGGGGGCAGUGAGGAGUCUUACAAUGUUCCAGGAGCAGGGAGUGAUCAGCUUGUGGACAUUCUUCUGACUGGUUGGUGGGGAGGUAAUAGGGAGUCAGCAUCAUCAGCCUUCCGGUUCCAACCAGUCUGGGGUCUGCGUGCUUGUGGGCAGCAUACCGUUAACGUCUUCCCCCUGGUGGGGGUUUCAGGAUCUGCCAAACAGCUCAAAGGACAUGGCUCAGAAUAUUAUCUACAGUCCUUGAGGUGCUAAAGGUGCUUGACUCUGUUUAAUGGCUAAAGUAUUAUUAUUUUGUCUUCACUGUUUUCCUUUCUUUAUGCAUUUUCUCACUUCUCUGAUUAAUUUUAUCCUUUGACUAAAGUUUUUCUAUAGACAAAAGGCAGGUGGAGGACAUGGGUGGGGGUCUGUUCUGGGAAGGUCUCAUAGGGUCCUGCUUAUUUA